ensembl:snRNA U6 U6 spliceosomal RNA
GUGCUCGCUUUAGUAGCACAUAUACUAAAAUUGGAACAAUACAACAAAGAUUAACAUGGCCCCUGCACAAGGAUGAUAUGUAAAUUUGUAAAGUGUUCCAUAUUUUU